UUCCUUCUCCAUCCCUUGGCCGCUCUCUUUAGCCCUCCCUCCCUCCCUCCGUUGUUUAUCCCGGCCAUAGAUCCGAGGUCUUUUGUUUUGCAGGUGGUUAGCUUUGAGUCAUCAUGCUUGCGGAUGAUUUCGUCCACAUCUACGAGGUGUUGACUCGUUCGCCUCCAGAUCCGGGCGAAUCGGUGGAGAUCUGGAUGGGUUGUUUCACGUCGGCGAUGUCUGUUCGCUUCGGGCAUCCGAAUCUCGCUGAUUUCGCUUUGAUGGGGGAGAUCUGGCCCAGAUCUAACCCCGCGUCUCUCCGAUCUGUAGAGAUUUGACGAUCGUGCGCUGUGUAAGCCAUUCUGUUGUAAGAAAAUUAAAUUGAGAGAGGUGCGAUGUACUUGUUUUGGGUACCCUGGGGGUCUGGCUUGCUCGAGAGACGCAGUGAUCUGGAAGUUGUACUCGGUAUGUGUUUCCUUACGACCAGACCUUUGCCAUGUUGGGUGCGCUCGCAUGGCAGGUCGCCUUCAUUAAUAAAAUUUAUUUUUUUGUGUGUUU